rnacentral:tRNA from 1 species
UUCCUGAUAGCUCAGUUGGUAAAGAAUCUGCCUGCAAUGCGGGAGACCUGGGUUUGAUCUUCCUGGUUGGGAAG